AUUGAACGCUGGCGGCAGGCCUAACACAUGCAAGUCGAGCGGAUGAAGGGAGCUUGCUCCUGGAUUCAGCGGCGGACGGGUGAGUAAUGCCUAGGAAUCUGCCUGGUAGUGGGGGAUAACGUCCGGAAACGGGCGCUAAUACCGCAUACGUCCUGAGGGAGAAAGUGGGGGAUCUUCGGACCUCACGCUAUCAGAUGAGCCUAGGUCGGAUUAGCUAGUUGGUGGGGUAAAGGCCUACCAAGGCGACGAUCCGUAACUGGUCUGAGAGGAUGAUCAGUCACACUGGAACUGAGACACGGUCCAGACUCCUACGGGAGGCAGCAGUGGGGAAUAUUGGACAGUGGGCGAAAGCCUGAUCCAGCCAUGCCGCGUGUGUGAAGAAGGUCUUCGGACUGUAAAGCACUUUAAGUUGGGAGGAAGGGCAGUAAGUUAAUACCUUGCUGUUUUGACGUUACCAACAGAAUAAGCACCGGCUAACUUCGU
rnacentral:rRNA from 1 species